rnacentral:rRNA from 1 species
CAACUCGCCUACACGAAGUUGGAAUUGCUAGUAAUCGUGGAUCAGCAUGCCACGGUGAAUACGUUCCCGGGUCUUGUACACACCGCCCGUCACACCAUGGGAGCUGGUAACACCCGAAGUCAGUAGUCUAACCGCAAGGAGGACGCUGCCGAAGGUGGGAUUAGCGACUGGGGUGAAGUCGUAACAAGGUACC